UCUGUGCUUAUUUUAAUUUUCUUUCCAAGUGCACGCAAAGACCACGUGGUGUCAUAGAAAGAGAGGACGUCAGUGCUAAAAGGAACCUAGAACCACAGAAUGUUGAAUAUUGGAGCUCUAACAGAACAUGGAAGAUAGAAGAGAGAACAUCGCAGAGGGGAUUGGCUCUUCCCAUGAGCUGAAGGAGAGCCUUCUACAAAAAGUAGCCCCUGGAGAACGGCAGAGCUGGAAGGGAUCUCAGAAGCAGCCAUGGAGCAAUGGGCCGUGUCAGAGGACUAUGAAUUCCAACCUAAACUCAACCCUUUACUCCCUGAGGGAUUCUGGAGAGAGAGCAUGAGGUUCAGAUUACAGAUGCGUGCCAAAAAAGCAGCCAGGAUGAUCCCAAGAUCCCGAUUCUAUCGAUAUCAUGGACAUAGUCAAUUGGGCACUGGAUUUACAGUCAGGAAAAUCAAGGUUUGAAUCCCACUUUAUACACUUAGUAGCUACAAGACUGUGGGUGAAUCAUUUAACCUCUCUCAUGGCCCUUUUCAUCACUGUAGAAAGAAACUGUGGAACAUAAAGGGAAAUUUUAUGUUAGUCUAUCAUAAGAAAGGAUGAAAAAGAUAAUCCUGGGUCAUAAAAACUGUCUCCAAGUGAAGGGAGCAGAAACAGAAGAAUUUCUACAGGGAGAGCCGCCUCAGAACAACAAACAGCUCUGGAAGACUUGAGAAUUGUGAUCAAAGCAAUGAACACUAUUUUUUUUUUUAUUUUAUUUUAAAAGAAUUUUAUUUUGAAGUUGUUUUUUAAAUUUUUUUAUUAAAG